CACAGCCUACGGGGGGCAGCAGUGGGGAAUAUUGCACAAUGGGGGGAACCCUGAUGCAGCGACGCCGCGUGAGUGAAGAAGUAUUUCGGUAUGUAAAGCUCUAUCAGCAGGGAAGAAGAUGACGGUACCUGACUAAGAAGCCCCGGCUAACUACGUGCCAGCAGCCGCGGUAAUACGUAGGGAGCGAGCGUUAUCCGGAUUUAUUGGGUGUAAAGGGGGCGUAGGCGGUAAUACAGGUCUUUGGUAUAAGCCCGAAGCUUAACUUCGG
rnacentral:rRNA from 1 species